rnacentral:lncRNA from 1 species
AUGGAAGCUGUGUUCAGGCCGGUCCACGCUGGGUGACCCAUGUGACCUGCUGCUUAGCAAUUCCUUGUCACCAUCUUCCCUUCUCAGCCUCUUUUUUCAUGCUAACAGGCAUAAAUGAAAUGAUAAAAGUUUGAGCUCUUCUCGUGGAAUUCUCGUGAUACAGAUAUGUGCUACAUGUUCAUCAUCUCGUUGGUCUUCACCAUGAUAACUGUGGAGUAAGAAUUAUAAGCAGGUCACAGAUUAGGGACUUGAGAUUGACAGUUUGGCUUCCCUGUUCUGGGUGGCAAAGCCUGUGGAGUACUCACCUACCUGCUGCAUGAAGGCAGCAUGGAGGGACUGUGGUGGAUUAUCUGCAAAGAUGGCCAAAAUUCUCUCAUCCCUGCAGGCACAUACAAGACUAGGCAUUGCUCUCUGAUCAGAAGAGUCAAUCCUGGUGAGUUUAACUUGAGCCUCAGAAUCCUACUCAACACAAAGUUCCAGAGAGAAGCGAUUAUCAAUGCCAAUACCUUAGAGAUGGUACUGGCUGUGGAAUCUGUCAUCCCUUGACUAGAAUGAGGAAGAAAGAUGAAGAAUGAGGAGGAAGAAGGAAGGAACGAGAGAGAGGUAAAGCCAACAAGCAGAACAGACCUACAUUUGCAGCAUCUCCAAGUUUCUGCAACAGCAUUAUGUUGUUGUUAUGUUUUGUUUUAAUAAAAGCACAUACCAUUUUU